AAGACCCGUUUAUGUACGUAAGAAAACGGCCUGGUUAUUUCUCCACCAUUUUUCCCGUUAUCCUCUCUAUCUCGAAGCGCUCCAUUUUUCCCGUUAUCCUCUCUAUCUCGAAGCUGGAGCGCUCUCAUCUCUCUCUGUUCGCCCCGGGCGCGACGGCUAACCCUAAUCCGACGAGCACGGCGGCGGCUCCCUAGGGGCUCGGGGGGCUCGAGGGCUGGCCCUGAGCGCUGUUGCGGCUUGUGCGCGGCCGCGGCUUCGGCGCCUGCUGCAGCUUCGGCGCCUGGGGCAACUUGACGUGCCCAAGGGCCCAGCCCAUGGCGACCUCCUCCAGCAUGACCACGGUUGGCACUCGAAGGCUGCAGUACCCUCUACUUGACUGCCCUGAGUGCCAUGUGCCUCUGAUCCGAAUCGUGAGCAAGCAAGCUCACUCCAAGGAUGUCCCGUUUGUGAAGUGCCCAAACAACGUGAAGAUCAGGAUUUGGUGGCCUUAUUUUUUUCUUCUUUUUGAUUUCAUUUUGAUUGACUUUAGUUGUGCGCAGGGUGAUCCAACAACUUGUGGUUGGAUCCGUUCCGAGGAGCAGUAUGCAGCCUGGUAUGUGAAUCAACAAAAGCAGAGACAUAUGCAGGUCCAGUCGCCCCUCCAUUCAGCAUCUAGGGAUGUUCUUGGUGAUUUGAAGCAACAAGUGUAUGAGAUGAAGCAAAUGCUGGACAAUGUGGUUGAAGAUCUUCGAUCAGUGAAGUCCCAAAUUGGAGACAAGCAAGACUUGGGUAAUAAGAAGAAAAUGCAGAUUGUGCUGGAUGUAUAUGUUGCAGUAGGUGUUCUUUGUUGGUGUGGU
rnacentral:lncRNA from 1 species